CUGGCGAUGCGGGAUGAACCGG
rnacentral:snRNA from 1 species